CAUUACCAAGCUAUACCACAUAUUGGUAUGGUAGGGUUAUAACCCUUUCUCAGAAAUCCCCUCUUCUUCAUCAUUAUUACCUUCUUGUUCUCUCUCACCUCACCUUCGUGACCUAGCCAACGCCGUCAUCAUUCGUCGAGCUCUGAUCUAGCCUAGAAGUUUGCCUCCACAUCAUUCUUAUCUUCUCAAAUUUUGCCUCUCGUUUGUGUCCUUGCGAGCACUAUUAUCAUCCAUCAAGCUUCGUCUCCUCCUUUUCACCUUCUUGAAUCUUACCUUGCAUUCAUGCCCUUGUGAGUGCGAGUAAAGAGAGCGCCUCUCAUUAAGCAGUAAAGCUCCUCCCUCCCCCAGGUUCAUCAUCCCAGCCUCCCUGCUCUCUUGGUAGUAUGAACUCUAAAUCAGAUUUAGAUCUAUAUAGCUUACUCCCUCUGGUUUUUGAGAUUUUGACUAAUCUCUGCUCUGCUCCUCACGGGUGGGAGAGAGGAAGAGAAUGGAGUAAUGGAGGCAGAGAAUCUCUAGUUCUUACGACAGCAAAUGAAAGGGAAUCUUCAUCUUAUGGCAUGGCAUGCCUGUGUAAGAAGAAGAAAUAGUGCAUAGAAACUGUUUCGAAUCUCGACUCUAACCAUGUGUUAACCCACUCCACCAGCCUACAUAUGGCUUCUGAUGGAAAAUUGUGUUGCCUUUCACUGUUUUCUUUCCCAGGCGAUGACAAGUUUGCAAUUGUUUGUCUCUUUCCUUCUGAUGUUAUUUGUCGUCUUCACUCUAAUUAGUACUUUCUUGCUUUUCAUUUUUGGUUUCAAAGCUUGUAAUUGAAUUAAAGUUGUUUGGAGUUUUGUUGAGUUUUUCCCCUUUAUGUAUCGACAUCUUUGAUUCUUGUCUUAUU